GUGCCGCCGGGCUGCCGUGCCCGAGCUGUGUGCUCCCGCCCGCGGGAGGCACCUCAGGGCGGGCGGCGCUGCCGGGUUCCGCCGCUCGCACCGCGCGGGUCCUUGUAGAGCUCGUGUUUUGCUUGUGAGAGCAGGUUGCUGAAGAACAGCCAACAGCAUGUAGAUAGUGUUAAUGUCAGAGACUUGUACAAGGUGCACAUCUGAGGCCCAAAAAGCAGAAAGGGUGCACUGCUUUUGCACUCCCUUGUACUCAUUGCACAGCCAAGGGACAUAGCCUAAGGCAGGCGAUGAUCAGCUGUCUCAAUCCAGAACUGUCAAUACCUUCUGCAUCAGGGGCUGAUGAUCAUGCAGCUGAACCAACAGCAGAGACCAAAAAAUGUGCAAACCCACCCAGCAGGUUGGAGUGCUUUUUGUCCAAAAGAGUCCAAAGAAAUCAAGAGUUAGUUGCAAACUCAGCAGCAUGAAAUAAUACUGUCCUUACUCUUUACAAAUAAAAGACUUCAAACUUCAUCUUAA